rnacentral:rRNA from 1 species
AUUGAACGCUGGCGGCAGGCUUAACACAUGCAAGUCGAACGGAGUGGCGGACGGGUGGGUAAUGCUUGGGAAUCUGGCUUAUGGAUGGGGAUAACGACGGGACACUGUCGCUACAACCGCGUAGCAUAGGAUGAGCCCAAUUGGGAUUAGGUAGUUGGUGGGGUAAUGGCCUACCAAGACGACGAUCUCUAGCUGGUCUGAGAGGAUGACCAGUCACACCGGGACUGAGACACGGCCCUGACUCCUACGGGAGGCAGCAGUGGGGAAUAUUGGACAAUGGGCGAAAGCCUGAUCCAGCCAUGCCGCGUGUGUGAAGAAGGUCUUCGGAUUGUAAAGCACUUUAAGUUGGGAGGCGUUACCAACAGAAUAAGCACCGGCUAACUUCGUGCCAGCAGCCGCGGUAAUUC